rnacentral:lncRNA from 12 species
GCCGGGGGCGCGCCAUUAACCCCAAAAUCCCCGUUUCUGACCCGUUCUGCGCCCGGAUCGCGCGUCCGACCCCAAAUCCCCGUUUCUGACCCGCGUUGCGCCGGGGGCGCGGGAUUAACCCCAAAUCCCCCGAUCUGAGCCCGUUUUGUGCCCCAAGCCCCUUUUUCCUGCCCUGUUUUGCGAGCGGGACGCGCCCGCGGCCCCAAAUCCCCGGUUCUGAGUCUGUUUCGCGCCUGGGUCGUGGCUCGGACCCGAAAUCUCCGUUUCUCCGCCCGAAUUGCGCCGGGGGCGCGCUGGGCCCCAAACCCCCCAAAGCGCCUGGAUUCGGGAACUCGUGUUCUGCGAGGACUCCGUAUCACCACAGGACCCUGGAUCGCUGUGAAGAGGACACGGGACCCCCUGUCGUGACAGCGCUCCUCUGUCGUGACAGGGCCCCUGUGUUGCUCCAUGGGACCGCAAUGGGGCCCUGUGUUGCUGCGAAUCCCCAUUAUUGUGACAGGUCCCCCUAUCGCGACAGUGACCCCCAGUGAGCAAUAAACUGCUGAGACCUACCCGGACUUGUGUCGUCAUUGGGACUGGGGGGGUGACCUUGGUGCAUAUGACGUCAUUGCCUGCUCCUCCUGACGUCAC